UACGGAGGGGGCUAGCGUUGUUCGGAAUUACUGGGCGUAAAGCGCACGUAGGCGGCUUUGUAAGUUAGAGGUGAAAGCCCAGGGCUUAACCCUGGAAUUGCCUUUAAGACUGCAUCGCUAGAAUCGUGGAGAGGUGAGUGGAAUUCCGAGUGUAGAGGUGAAAUUCGUAGAUAUUCGGAAGAACACCAGUGGCGAAGGCGACUUACUGGACACAUAUUGACGCUGAGGCUCGAAAGCGUGGGGAGCAAACAGG
rnacentral:rRNA from 1 species